rnacentral:rRNA from 1 species
AUUGAACGCUGGCGGCAGGCUUAACACAUGCAAGUCGAGCGGGGGAAGGUAGCUUGCUACUGGACCUAGCGGCGGACGGGUGAGUAAUGCUUAGGAAUCUGCCUAUUAGUGGGGGACAACAUCUCGAAAGGGAUGCUAAUACCGCAUACGUCCUACGGGAGAAAGCAGGGGAUCUUCGGACCUUGCGCUAAUAGAUGAGCCUAAGUCGGAUUAGCUAGCUGGUGGGGUAAAGGCCUACCAAGGCGACGAUCUGUAGCGGGUCUGAGAGGAUGAUCCGCCACACGGGGACUGAGACACGGCCCAGACUCCUACGGGAGGCAGCAGUGGGGAAUAUUGGACAAUGGGGGGAACCCUGAUCCAGCCAUGCCGCGUGUGUGAAGAAGGCCUUAUGGUUGUAAAGCACUUUAAGCGAGGAGGAGGCUACUUUAGUUAAUACCUAGAGAUAGUGGACGUUACUCGCAGAAUAAGCACCGGCUAACUCUGUGCCAGCAGCCGCCGUAA